rnacentral:rRNA from 1 species
UACGUAGGUGGCAAGCGUUGUCCGGAUUUACUGGGCGUAAAGAGCGCGCAGGCGGUCGUUUAAGUCGAAUGUGAAAGCCCCCGGCUUAACUGGGGAGGGUCAUUCGAUACUGAUCGACUUGAAGGCAGGAGAGGGAAGCAGAAUUCCCGGUGUAGUGGUGAAAUGCGUAGAUAUCGGGAGGAACACCAGUGGCGAAGGCGACUUCCUGGCCUGUUCUUGACGCUGAGGCGCGAAAGCUAGGGGAGCAAACGGG